ensembl:snoRNA
GUGCAUUCUUAAACCCUCCUGGCCGCCGCGCGCCGGCGCCUCCAGGAUACGAGUGAAUGCGAGAGCAAGUGCAGGAAGUCCAAAGGGCUGCGCGCCCUCCGUGGCUCAGCCCUAUUUCCUCCCUGCGACAGCU